AUACAGUUGAAGCAGCACAUACUGGUGUUUCAGGGAGAGCGUCUGAUAUGUUAAAUAGAAUCUAUCUUUGUUGGGUUGUUUUCUGCCUUAAUGUCAAUCGAUAUGUUGGAAGUUAUCAAAAAGUUCAUGAGAAAUCCAUUUCAACUUCUAAUGAAGAAGGAAGAAUUGACCCUUGAAAGGACCAGUAUUUUAUAAUAUUUUUGAAAGAGGAAUUGGCAGUGGAGGCUGAUUUGGGAGGAAAGCUGUGGCCAUAAACAUUGAAGAAGACAAGUGGAUUCUUUGUGACAUUCAGACUUUCUACAGUAGCACAGUGGAGGAAAUGCCAAUGAAUGUGACUGACCUUAUUUAAUUCCUGGGAUGAGAUAGUUUUGAAUGGAGCACUCGCUAUUGUGGAAUUAACAUCCACUGUGCUUCUUUCUUUGGGAAUAUUUGAAGCUCGUCUCAAUGCUCAUAAUGGAUCAAAAAUACAGAUUUUGAUGGUAACACUACUCUUACUCGUGAGCCCAUAUGAGGAUGGUCAUUGGUUUUAUCUGCUUCAGAAUUAGAAUAUUGGAGUUGGAUAUGACAGAUGGGGUUGUAACAAUUAUUCUUAGAAAUGUAUUUCCUAGUUCUGUAAAAAUGGUUAUAUUGAAUGUGCUCCAUCAUUUAAUACUAUAUUGUGGACUGGACAAUAUGUGCUGUAUAAAAGCAGCCAAUUGAGGUGCCUAGGUGGCCCACUUGGUUGGGCGUCCAACUUCGGCUCAGGUCAUGACCUCACAGUUUGUGAGUUCAGGCCCCACAUUGGGCUCUGUGCUGAUGGCCAUUUGUGUUACGAGUUACGUGUGCCAUCAGCACAGAGCCUGGAGCCCACUUCGAGUUCUGUGUCUCUCCUUCUUUCUCUGCCUCUCCCCUGCCCAUGCUCACACUGUGUCUCUCUCUCAAAAAUAAAUAAACUUUAAAAAAAGAAAAGAAAAGAAAAGCAGCCUAUUAUGGGGUGCCUGGCUGGCUCAGUCAGUGGAGCAUGUGACUCUUGAUCUUGAGAUUGUAAAUUUAAGCCCCAGGUUGAAUGUAGAGACUACUUAGAAAUAAAAUCUCUUUUUUAAAAAAGCAUCCAUUUAUAUUACUAGUUUAUCUGUUUUUAUUGCGUUAGUCAUUAGACUGAAUAAAACAAACUCGAAAAUGUUUUUUUUUAAAUAAAGUAUUUGAUUUCA